GCUGGCGGCACGCCUAACACAUGCAAGUCGAACGAAGUAGCAAUACUUAGUGGCGAACGGGUGAGUAUAAUGUGGGUAUCUGCCUUUUGGUUUGGAAUAACACGGGGAAACUUGUGCUAAUACCGGAUAAGCCUUUACAGGGAAAGUUUUAACGCCAAAAGAUGAGCCCACACUUGAUUAGCUAGUUGGUAAGGUAAUGGCUUACCAAGGCUACGAUCAAUAGCUGAUCUGAGAGGAUGAUCAGCCACAUUGGGACUGAGACACGGCCCAAACUCCUACGGGAGGCAGCAGUGGGGAAUCUUGCACAAUGGGGGAAACCCUGAUGCAGCGAUGCCGCGUGAGUGAAGAAGGCCUUUGGGUUGUAAAGCUCUUUCGUCGGGGAAGAAAAUGACUGUACCCGAAUAAGAAGGUCCGGCUAACUUCGUGCCAGCAGCCGCGGUAAUACGAAGGGACCUAGCGUAGUUCGGAAUUACUGGGCUUAAAGAGUUCGUAGGUGGUUAGAAAAGUUGGUGGUGAAAUCCCAAGGCUUAACCUUGGAACUGCCACCAAAACUUUUUGACUAGAGUAUGAUAGAGGAAAGUGGAAUUUCUAGUGUAGAGGUGAAAUUCGUAGAUAUUAGAAAGAACACCAAUUGCGAAGGCAACUUUCUGGAUCAUUACUGACACUGAGGAGCGAAAGCAUGGGUAGCGAAGAGGAUUAGAUACCCUCGUAGUCCAUGCUGUAAACGAUGUGUGCUAGACGUUGGAAAUUUAGUUUUCAGUGUCGCAGCAAAAGCGUUAAGCACACCGCCUGGGGAGUACGACCGCAA
rnacentral:rRNA from 1 species